rnacentral:rRNA from 1 species
UACGUAGGUGGCAAGCGUUGUCCGGAUUUACUGGGCGUAAAGAGCGUGUAGGCGGCCAAACAGGUCCGUUGUGAAAACUGGAGGCUCAACCUCCAGACGUCGACGGAAACCGUGUGGCUAGAGUCCGGAAGAGGAGAGUGGAAUUCCUGGUGUAGCGGUGAAAUGCGCAGAUAUCGGGAGGAACACCAAUUGCGAAGGCAGCUCGCUGGGACGUUACUGACGCUGAGACGCGAAAGCGUGGGGAGCGAACAGG